rnacentral:misc_RNA from 1 species
GAAAUGCGAUAAGUAGUGUGAAUUGCAGAAUUCAGUGAAUCAUCGAAUCUUUGAACGCAUAUUGCGCCCCUUGGUAUUCCAUGGGGCAUGCCUGUUCGAGCGUCAUUUGUACCCUCAAGCUCUGCUUGGUGUUGGGUGUUUGUCCCCGUCUCCGCGCGUGGACUCGCCCCAAAGUGAUUGGCAGCCGGCGUACUGGUCCCGGAGCGCAGCACAUGUCGCGCAAACGAGUGCCUUGGUACGGCGGCGUCCAUAAGCCCCUCUCUCACGCUCUUGACCUCGGAUCAGGUAGGGAUACCCGCUGAACUUAAGC